UUAAGCGAGGAGGAGGAGCUCUUGGUUAAUACCCAAGAUGCUUGGACGUUACUCGCAGAAUAAGCACCGGCUAACUCUGUGCCAGCAGCCGCGGUAAUACAGAGGGUGCAAGCGUUAAUCGGAUUUACUGGGCGUAAAGCGCGCGUAGGUGGCCAAUUAAGUCAAAUGUGAAAUCCCCGAGCUUAACUUGGGAAUUGCAUUCGAUACUGGUUGGCUAGAGUAUGGGAGAGGAUGGUAGAAUUCCAGGUGUAGCGGUGAAAUGCGUAGAGAUCUGGAGGAAUACCGAUGGCGAAGGCAGCCAUCUGGCCUAAUACUGACACUGAGGUGCGAAAGCAUGGGGAGCAAACAGGAUUAGAUACCCUGGUAGUCCAUGCCGUAAACGAUGUCUACUAGCCGUUGGGGCCUUUGAGGCUUUAGUGGCGCAGCUAACGCGAUA
rnacentral:rRNA from 1 species